UCUGCUCAUCCAACACUUCCCCGUUGGACCGCAUCUGAUUCACCAUGGCCUGCACUCGGUCGAAAUAACCGGCAACACUUUCUGAGUUUGUCAUUCUAAAUGACUCGAAAUCGCCCCGGAGCAUCUGCAAUCGGACUCGCUUCACUCGUUCAUCACCUUUGUAGGCUUUCUGCAAGAUAACCCACGCUUGGUGAUCUGUCUCAGCCGCUGAUAUUCUUUCAAAUACCAGCUCGUCAACAGCUUCAAAGAUGGCAUAUAAUGCUUUCUGAUCCCACUUACGAGUUUCAACUAAUACCUCUUUCUCCUCAUUUUUCAUAGCCUCGAACGCAACAACAUUAGCUACCUCUGUGUAGCCACUCUCCACCAAAUCCCAUAAAUUUUGAGAUCAGAAAAAUACCUUCAAUUGGAUUGACCAAUUGUUGUAAUUUUUUCCGGUGAGUUUUGGAAGCUGAAAUUGAAUCGUGUUACUAGACGACAUGAUUCAAUAUUUUUCUACCUCACAACACUCAACCUUGAUCUGAUACCAA
rnacentral:lncRNA from 1 species